rnacentral:rRNA from 1 species
AUUGAACGCUGGCGGCAUGCUUUACACAUGCAAGUCGAACGGUAACAGGCCUUCGGGUGUUGACUAGUGUCGCACGGGUGCGGAUUGCAUAGGAACGUAUCCCCAGGCUGGGGGUAACGCAUCGCAAGCUGUGAUCAUACCUCAUAUCAUCUGAGGUUUAGAGCGGGGGAGCUCACAAGAAUGUUUGGCCUUUCCUCUUUCGAACAGCCGAUGUCGGAUUAGCUAGUUGGUGAGGUAAAGUCCCACCAAGGCGACGAUCCGUAGCUGGUCUGAGAGGACGAACAGCCACACUGGGACUGAGACACGGCCCAGACUCCUACGGGAGGCAGCAGUGGGGAAUUUUGGACAAUGGGCGCAAGCCUGAUCCAGCAAUGCCGCGUGAGGGAUGAAGGCCUUCGGGUUGUAAACCGCUUUUGGCAGGAACGAAACGGUGUCCGCUAAUACCGGGCGCUAAUGACGGUACCUGCAGAAUAAGCAACGGCUAACUACGUG